rnacentral:rRNA from 1 species
GUCUGCGUGGAGCCGACCUUGAAAUACCACCCUUUAAUGUUUGAUGUUCUAACGUGGAUCCGUAAUCCGGGUUGCGGACAGUGUCUGGUGGGUAGUUUGACUGGGGCGGUCUCCUCCUAAAGAGUAACGGAGGAGCACGAAGGUUGGCUAAUCCUGGUCGGACAUCAGGAGGUUAGUGCAAUGGCAUAAGCCAGCUUGACUGCGAGCGUGACGGCGCGAGCAGGUGCGAAAGCAGGUCAUAGUGAUCCGGUGGUUCUGAAUGGAAGGGCCAUCGCUCAACGGAUAAAAGGUACUCCGGGGAUAACAGGCUGAUACCGCCCAAGAGUUCAUAUCGACGGCGGUGUUUGGCACCUCGAUGUCGGCUCAUCACAUCCUGGGGCUGAAGUAGGUCCCAAGGGUAUGGCUGUUCGCCAUUUAAAGUGGUACGCGAGCUGGGUUUAGAACGUCGUGAGACAGUUCGGUCCCUAUCUGCCGUGGGCGCUGGAGAACUGAGGGGGGCUGCUCCUAGUACGAGAGGACCGGAGUGGACGCAUCACUGGUGUUCGGGUUGUCAUGCCAAUGGCACUGCCCGGUAGCUAAAUGCGGAAGAGAUAAGUGCUGAAAGCAUCUAAGCACGAAACUUGCCCCGAG